rnacentral:rRNA from 1 species
UAGGGAAUAUUGGACAAUGGGCGCAAGCCUGAUCCAGCCAUGCCGCGUGAGUGAAGAAGGCCCUCGGGUUGUAAAGCUCUUUUGUCCGGAAAGAAAAGCAUCGGGUUAAUACCCCGGUGUUCUGACGGUACCGGAAGAAUAAGCACCGGCUAACUUCGUGCCAGCAGCCGCGGUAAUACGAAGGGUGCAAGCGUUACUCGGAAUUACUGGGCGUAAAGCGUGCGUAGGUGGUUCGUUAAGUCUGAUGUGAAAGCCCUGGGCUCAACCUGGGAAUGGCAUUGGAAACUGGCGGACUGGAGUGCGGUAGAGGGUAGCGGAAUUCCCGGUGUAGCAGCGAAAUGCGUAGAGAUCGGGAGGAACAUCCGUGGCGAAGGCGGCUACCUGGACCAGCACUGACACUGAGGCACGAAAGCGUGGGGAGCAAACA